rnacentral:rRNA from 1 species
CCUACGGGGGGCUGCAGUGGGGAAUAUUGGACAAUGGGCGAAAGCCUGAUCCAGCCAUGCCGCGUGUGUGAAGAAGGCCUUCGGGUUGUAAAGCACUUUCAGUGGGGAAGAAAGCCUUGGGGCUAAUACCCUCGAGGAAGGACAUCACCCACAGAAGAAGCACUGGCUAACUCCGUGCCAGCAGCCGCGGUAAUACGGAGGGUGCGAGCGUUAAUCGGAAUUACUGGGCGUAAAGCGCGCGUAGGCGGUCUGAUAAGCCGGCUGUGAAAGCCCCGGGCUCAACCUGGGAACGGCAUCCGGAACUGUCAGGCUAGAGUGCAGGAGAGGAAGGUAGAAUUCCCGGUGUAGCGGUGAAAUGCGUAGAGAUCGGGAGGAAUACCAGUGGCGAAGGCGGCCUUCUGGACUGACACUGACGCUGAGGUGCGAAAGCGUGGGUAGCAAACAGGAUUAGGUACCCUAGUAGUC